AGAACGAACGCUGGCGGCAUGCCUAAUACAUGCAAGUCGAACGAACACUUCGGUGUUAGUGGCGCACGGGUGCGUAACGCGUGGGAAUCUGCCCUUGGGUUCGGAAUAACAGUUGGAAACGACUGCUAAUACCGGAUGAUAUCGAAAGAUCAAAGAUUUAUCGCCCAGGGAUGAGCCCGCGUAGGAUUAGCUAGUUGGUGAGGUAAAGGCUCACCAAGGCGACGAUCCUUAGCUGGUCUGAGAGGAUGAUCAGCCACACUGGGACUGAGACACGGCCCAGUACCU
rnacentral:rRNA from 1 species